GACGAACGCUGGCGGCGUGCUUAACACAUGCAAGUCGUGGGCACCAGCAAUGGUGACCGGCGAACGGGUGCGUAACACGUGAGCGACCUACCGAUUUGUGGGGGAUAGCCGGCCCAACGGCCGGGUAAUACCGCAUACGCCGAGCUUGCCGCAUGGCUUGCUCGGGAAACCUCCGGGGCAAAUCGAGGGGCUCGCGGCCUAUCAGCUAGUUGGCGAGGUAAUGGCUCACCAAGGCGACGACGGGUAGCUGGUCUGAGAGGAUGGCCAGCCACAUUGGGACUGAGAAC
rnacentral:rRNA from 1 species